rnacentral:rRNA from 1 species
GAUGAACGCUAGCUACAGGCUUAACACAUGCAAGUCGAGGGGAAACGGGAGAAUAGCUUGCUAUUCUUUGUCGUCGACCGGCGCACGGGUGAGUAACGCGUAUCCAACCUUCCCAUAACUAAGGAAUACCCCGUAGAAAUGCGGCCUAAUCCCUUAUGGUCUCUUAUGCUUGUCAUGGGAAUAAGAGUAAAGAUUUAUCGGUUAUGGAUGGGGAUGCGUCUGAUUAGCUUGCUGGCGGGGUAACGGCCCACCAGGGCGUCGAUCAGUAGGGGUUCUGAGAGGAAGGUCCCCCACAUUGGAACUGAGACACGGUCCAAACUCCUACGGGAGGCAGCAGUGAGGAAUAUUGGUCAAUGGGCGAGAGCCUGAACCAGCCAAGUAGCGUGCAGGAUGACGGCCCUAUGGGUUGUAAACUGCUUUUUAAGGUGAAUAAAGAGGGGCACGUGUGCCCUGUUGCAUGUAGCCUUGGAAUAAGGACCGGCUAAUUCCGUGCCAGCAGCCGCGGUAAUACGGAAGGUCCAGGUGUUAUCCGGAUUUAUUGGGUUUAAAGGGAGCGUAGGCCGCAGGUUAAGUGUGUUGUGAAAAGCAGUCGCCCAACGUCUGCCUUGCAGCGCAAACUGUCCUGCUUGAGUGCGCACAACGCAGGCGGAAUUCGUCGUGUAGCGGUGAAAUGCUUAGAUACGACGAAGAACUCCGAUUGCGAAGGCAGCUUGCGGGAGCGCAACUGACGCUGAAGCUCGAAAGUGCGGGUAUCGAACAGG